rnacentral:tRNA from 1 species
GGUCUCAUCGUCUAACGGUUAGGACACCAGGUUCUCAUCCUGGUAAUUGGAGUUCGAUUCUCCAUGAGAUCACCA